rnacentral:rRNA from 1 species
AAUCAACGCUGGCGGCGUGCCUAACACAUGCAAGUCGAACGAGAAAGCGGGGGCAACUCCGUGAGUACAGUGGCAGACGGGUGAGUAACACGUGAACAACCUACCCUCGAGUGGGGAAUAACACCGCGAAAGCGGUGCUAAUACCGCAUAACAUCCCGUGUCCGCAUGGGCAGGGGAUCAAGGGCGAAAGUCGCUUGAGGAGGGUUCGCGCCUGAUUAGCUAGUUGGUGAGGUAACGGCCCACCAAGGCAACGAUCAGUAGCCGGCCUGAGAGGGCGAACGGCCACACUGGAACUGAGACACGGUCCAGACUCCUACGGGUGGCAG